GCUCUCUUAAUCCAACGGCAGAGAUAAUAGACUUAAAAUCUAUAAAGUGUAGGUUCGAAUCCUACAGAGAGCA
rfam:Lactobacillus plantarum bacteriophage LP65, complete genome.